rnacentral:rRNA from 1 species
UACAGAGGGGGCUAGCGUUGUUCGGAAUCACUGGGUGUAAAGGGUGCGUAGGCGGUUAGUUAAGUCUGAUGUGAAAUCCCUCGGCUCAACUGGGGAACUGCAUUGGAAACUGGCUAGCUAGAGUACCGGAGAGGGAAUCGGAAUUCCUGGUGUAGCGGUGAAAUGCGUAGAUACCAGGAGGAACACCGGUGGCGAAGGCGGAUUCCUGGCCGAGUACUGACGCUGAGGCACGAAAGCGUGGGGAG